rnacentral:rRNA from 1 species
GACGCUAAAAGCUCGAAAGUGCGGGUAUCGAACAGGAUUAGAUACCCUGGUAGUCCGCACGGUAAACGAUGGAUGCCCGCUGUUUGCGAUAUACUGUGAGCGGCCAAGAGAAAUCGUUAAGCAUCCCACCUGGGGGAGUACGCCGGCAACGGUGAAACUCAAAGGAAUUGACGGGGGCCCGCACAAGCGGAGGAACAUGUGGUUUAAUUCGAUGAUACGCGAGGAACCUUACCCGGGCUUGAACUGCAGCGGAAUGCGGUGGAGACACCAAAGCCCUUCGGGGUCUCUGUGGAGGUGCUGCAUGGUUGUCGUCAGCUCGUGCCGUGAGGUGUCGGCUUAAGUGCCAUAACGAGCGCAACCCUUUUCAUUAGUUGCCAUCAGGUAGAGCUGGGCACUCUGGUGAUACUGCCACCGUAAGGUGUGAGGAAGGUGGGGAUGACGUCAAAUCAGCACGGCCCUUACGUCCGGGGCUACACACGUGUUACAAUGGGUGGUACAGAGAGUUGGUCGUUUGCAAAUGCGAUCUAAUCCUUAAAGCCAUCCUCAGUUCGGAUUGGGGUCUGCAACCCGACCCCAUGAAGCUGGAUUCGCUAGUAAUCGC